AGUCUACAGUGUGUCCAAAGUAAUCGAGGAUAGCUUUUGGAAGAGGCGCAACUUCGCCUAUUUCUCAUUUUUUUCUCCACGGAGAAAAAAAAUAUUCUCGGCUGUUCCCUUGGGAUGUAAUUGCGUUCCCAGGCAAGUUCAAUGGCUCUGUAAGACUCAGAGCAUAGCAAGCCAUUCAUGGCUGGGACAAAAACCCACUUAUUUUAUUAUGUAGACAAGACUAUCAUUGUAUCUUUAGAAACAAAUUUAAAUCAAGUACAAUUACAUGUAGAUAAAUAUAUUGAUUGUUAAACUCAAAAAUGGCACCAUUAUUCAGGAGUCAAUAGGGUGCUACAGUAGUUAUAGCAACAGUAGUUAAAGGGACUCUGCAAGACUGCAAACAUGAAGCAUCUGUACCCCCAAGUUAUAGACUGCUCUGCUACUACUUAUUUUAGUUAUACCUCCAAAUGUGUCUAUAUAACAUCCUCCUUUAAAACACUUGACAUCCUAUAUUUUGGCAUGACAUGAUUUUUCACCUCUAAAGAUUGAUAGUUGUACUGUAAGUGUUAGUGGUUUUGUUUAAUGGGGUUGUAAAGGGAAGGUCUUUCUUUGUGAAAUAGCCUAUUUGUGUUGAUCUAAACUUUCCUUCUGUCUGAGGGGUCUCUGGCUCAGCUCAGCUCACAGGACCGUUCCCAUGGAGAUGAUAGGAUCACUUCCUGUCUCAGAACAGGCCAGGUCAUGGAGUUUGCUGGACCGGGAGUCCCUUCGGCUCCUCCCCCUUCUUCUCAGAGCAAGCAGGCCCAUUGCCCUAGCGAUUCCACACAGACACAGCGUGUACACAUGCUGCUCCAGAGCCAGUACUGUUCUUCCUUCCGACAAGUACGCCUCUCAACUUUGUUAAUUUACACAAUGUCCUUUGUUCACAUUUGCUUAUAAAUGUUCUAAACUCACCAAAAAUUAUAUUUGGUAGCUCCUACCUAUAUAUGUAUAACUUUGAGUUGGAUUGCCUCUGCGCACGUUAAACAUAUUUAGCUAGCAGCCUCAAUGGAAAUUCGCUAUUAUUUGUGCUAAUUUUGUUAGCAUUCUGGUAAUAGACACCGAAUGGGCUUUUUUUUUUGCGUUUUUUGGCCGGUAAUACCAUAAAACCUGGAAUGAGAGGACGGUAUGACAAUAUGAGAAAAUCUGGAUACUGCCCAACCAUAGUGGAAACCCUCGCUGGCGCUGCCCUUGCUAAAAUGCUUUUGGCCACUAGAGGCCUCUAUCAUUCUCUGCUUGCAGAUCACACAUUGCAUCGGAAGUACCAUAGAAUUACUGCCUUAUAUAUUAUCCAGAAUGACUAUAGGCCUGAUUCCACAUUGAACACUGCUUCUCUUCCCUUGAUGACUCACUCUUGCAGGUCUUAAAAGACUGCAGAGGUGUUGGCAUGGUGAUAGUUCCAGCUAUUCAAAUAGGGUGAAGUUGAGCGUUUCUGUGUUAGUGUGUGCUUUUAAUAACAGUAAAUAUGUGUCAUUUGUUUGAUCUAACAAUUGUUUUCUAUUGGUGCAAAUGUUCAAUGUAUUUUGAAUAUGAUGAAUAAAGGUUAUUCUUCACCACAA